AUGGUGUGGUCCGUCCGCGUCCCACUGAAGAUUCGCAUCUUCAUGUGGCAGUGGAUCCGUGGACGGGUCCCGUCCAGCGUGGAGGUCCGCAAGCGAAAUGGCCCGGGCACUGGUAUCUGCCCCCUCUGCGAUGUUCCUGAAGACUCCAAUCACAUUUUCUUCGCUUGCGUUUCCGCCUGGUUCCUUUGGAGCUGCUUUCGCGAGAUUGUCGGUGGGAGUUGGUGCCACACCAAUUUCCCGGACCUUUUUGCUGAACUUCAAGUGUCCCCUACGACCUCUCGCCACAUUAGGUGGCUGGAGGUUGGGGUCCUUGCCUGGACGCUGUGGACCGUUCGCAAUAAGCUUGUGAUCCAACGUUCUCCCCUCCAUCGCGCUACUGAUGCUCUCUACAAAUUCUCAGGUUUCUUGCAGCUUUGGCGGCCGCUUAGCCGCCCCCCGGAUCGGGACGCCAUCUCAGCCUUCAUCACCGAUCUUCGCUCGAUGGCCGUCCGCCUGGCGCCCCCCCCCCCCGCCGCCGCCGGAGCCAGACUAGAUCACCUGCGCUGGGCAGGCAGGCUUUGCUGUGUUGUGUUUUUUCUCUUUCUUCUGGGCUUGUUGAGCUGUGCCCUCAGCAGAACCUCUGUACUUUGUUUGUGGUUCUUGGGUGGUGUGUGUGUGUGCACCUGCUUUGGUUGUAUGUCUUGUGGCGGUUUGCUUUAUUUAUAA
rnacentral:rRNA from 1 species